GCCCUCGUGAGCGGUCAGUGAUCGACUCCUGAAGCGGGUGUCGCAGGUUCGAAUCCUGCCGGGGGCA
rnacentral:tRNA from 1 species